AUUGAACGCUGGCGGCAUGCCUUACACAUGCAAGUCGAACGGCAGCGGACCUUCGGGUGCCGGCGAGUGGCGAACGGGUGAGUAAUAUAUCGGAACGUGCCUUUCAGUGGGGGAUAACGUAGCGAAAGUUACGCUAAUACCGCAUAUUCUCUGAGGAGGAAAGCAGGGGACCUUCGGGCCUUGCGCUGAUGGAGCGGACGAUAUCAGAUUAGCUAGUUGGUGGGGUAAAGGCCUACCAAGGCGACGAUCUGUAGCGGGUCUGAGAGGAUGAUCCGCCACACUGGGACUGAGACACGGCCCAGACUCCUACGGGAGGCAGCAGUGGGGAAUUCUGGACAAUGGGCGAAAGCCUGAUCCAGCCAUGCCGCGUGAGUGAAGAAGGCCUUCGGGUUGUAAAGCUCUUUCGGCCGGGAAGAAAUCGCACAGGCUAAUACCUUGUGUGGAUGACGGUACCGGAAUAAGAAGCACCGGCUAACUACGUGCCAGCCGCCGCAGUAACAC
rnacentral:rRNA from 1 species